rnacentral:lncRNA from 1 species
GGGCCCAAAGCACCUAGCAAGUGAGUCUGUGCCCCGGGUCGACGCCGAACUUCUUGCAGUAGGCCCGGUAGUACCUCGCCCGCGCGUUCAUGGCGGCCGAGUUCCCGCCGUUGCACUCCCCGCUGUUGAUUGCCCUGGUGGUCGCGCCGAACCCCCGCGGCAGGACCUGCUUCACGUUGUUCAUCCAGAACCAGAGUGCCGCCUUGAACGCCACCUCUGCGUCCUGCGCCACCUUCUCCGGGUUGUUGAGCCCGUCGAACCCGACGCUCUUCCCCGCCGCCCCGUAGUUGUAGUUCCACGUCAGCUGCAGCGGUCCGCGCCCGUAGUACCCCUUCCCCGAGGUGCACGGCCACUCCGGGUGACUCCUGUCGUCGCAGUAGUUCUGCCUCGCCCCGCCGAUCUCCUCGAUGUAGCACAUGUCUGCACAUAAGUUAUACAUACACAUAGGCAGCUCAGUUAUUGAAGAGCUAAUGCAAGAUCAAAUUCGUCUUAGUCGGUUAAUUGGAGUUGAGCUUACGUCCAGUCUCGUGUGUGACGUGAGCGAAGAAGGCGGCUAUCUCCCUCUUGGCGUCGUCGGUCGUGCGGCCUUUCCCGAAGUUGGGGUUCGCCCGGGCGCCGGCCAGGAACGACCGGCGCGUGUAAAAGCUCUUGCCGGCGCACCCGUUGCCGGCCCGGGACUUGAUCCCGUUGAAGAACGCCUUGGUGACGACGCCCUCCACAGAGACACCGCUCCCGCCNNNNNNNNNNNNNNNNNNNNNNNNNNNNNNNNNNNNNNNNNNNNNNNNNNNNNNNNNNNNNNNNNNNNNNNNNNNNNNNNNNNNNNNNNNNNNNNNNNNNNNNNNNNNNNNNNNNNNNNNNNNNNNNNNNNNNNNNNNNNNNNNNNNNNNNNNNNNNNNNNNNNNNNCCGCCGCUCCCCGAGCACGGGCCAGACUUACAUCCAUUUCCACAGUAGGCGUCGGUAGUGCCGCAAUAACCGUACCGGCUGCAGCACUCGUUCGCCCGGCAGCCGCACUUCUGCGCGGCCACCAUUCCCGCGGCAGACAGGACUAGUGCUGCUACCCCGAGCGCCAAGAGCGGGAGCUUCGCCAUGUCGAAAAAUAACGGGAAGGGUGGCCAAGCUUGUUGCCGCCCUAUCAGCUGCUUGUUUACGAGCAGAGUGUACAUGGCAAGGUGGUGUCAAGCUGUUUAUAUAGACACUAGACAGUGGACGUCGAUCAUUGCCGACGACUUCCGGGGUCAAGGUUGGACUAGAUCAAACCGACCGUCGGUCAAAGAAUCAAGACUUUUCUUUGCUCGUCGGUACACGAGAGUUUGGAAGUUUGUUACGUGCCCUGCACUUGCCGUCGGCGCGCGUCCUUGCACUAUACGCGAGUUUGGAAGUUUGCUACGUGCCCUGCAUUUGCCGUCGGCGCGUCCUUGCACUAUAUGUGUCUUGAAGUGGUCUUUAAUCCUUUACAAUUUUUUUGGUUGUAAUCACAAAAAACUUGCUCUGUGAGAAAAUCCUACCGCCUAGGAGUCUUCAAUCCCCAAAAGAAACAAGACCAAGGGGGAAACUUAAGACUAGUUCAAAUCAAAAAUCUAGCUUUGGUUGAAAGAGGGAGGGAGAGUGGAUCUAUCCCUUGGUGAAAUCUCUAUCAAGAAUAUCUUUAGAGAGUGAUAAGGAGCAUUUGGUGUCCUUGGGAUGUUUUGUAAUUAAGUGGACAACCGUCUACAGAAGCGUUAGAGGGGUAUAUAAUGCUCAAAUAAUAGAGUCGUUUGGCUAGUUUCUGUAAGUGCCCGGAUGUCCGGGCCCAUUCCUUUUGAAGAGUAAAGCCAGAAACAAAGAAUGAAAUGGAAUUGUCCAAAUUUUCAGCAAGGAAUUCAUACAAUCUGAAGGAUGUCCGGAUGUCCGGGAUGAAGCCCGGAUCGUUGUGCUAGGUCAAACGCCAAAGGAACAAAGGAGAGAUAGCCAUAUGAAAUGAUGCUCUAAGAAAUUGUCCAAGCAAAACGUCUUUGCUUGACUGGACGUCUCGGAUGUUUCUCGGCCGGCCGGCUAAGUGUAAAUCCUAUUGGAACAAGACGUGAGGUGUCUGGUUGUCCGGCUAUCGUCUAGCAUAUCCACGAUAGCCCGAGUGAUAAUAUUGCUCUGGAUAUCUUUCCGGGCGACACUUUCAGGUUGUUGUGUGAUGUCCAGGAUGGAUCCCGGAUAGUCUGGCUCUAAGAAAGUGCUUUUGUGGUCUGUCGGUGGCCAAGUCGGACGUCCGGGAGGAAUUUGGAAUGGUCCGGUCAUAGUUCAGACAUUUGAGUUGCAACCUGGACAAUUCGGUACUGAAUGUGGCUAUGGACAAAAUGACAAGUUGAGCAUAGUGGCUAGGUUGGCCUAAGAAUUUUUGGUAGUGGUGUGAGUGAAAUGAUGUUGACUUGAGCAAAUUUUUCACGAACCCCUUUGACCCCUCAUAAUAGCAUGGGGUCCCCAUAACUCAAGAACAGGUGUCAUUAAAGCUGAUAUAAUUCCCCGGAGCUACCACGUGCCUCUACAAGCCCUACCUAGCAGCUUGCUCGUGCGACACCUCACCGAUGGGUGGCAACCAACCUAGUGAUGUGGAGUGAUGGCUUAAAUAGUGGAUGCUUGCCAUGCACGGAGUUGUCGGGUCUUCUCUUGCCGGCAAGGCAGGCUUGCUGGUGAUUUGAUCUUCUCAUGGCGUCUUGAGUGUAUUGGCCGCCCAGCAAGGCUUGUCGGACUGGAGGCCGCUGUCGUAUGUGCACGAGUCAGGGUACUAAGGGACACAUUCCUUAGUACACCGACAAGAUGCAACAAGGAAGAACAAAAUACACUAAAAGACAAUGCAUGAGACUAGCGCACGCACACACACACACAAUGCAAGGUCGAAGAGAAACUAAGCGAGGCCCCAAGGAAGAUCACUCAACACCAUAUUUGACAGUUUGUUGUCCGCCACCUCGGUAAAGAAAUAUGCAUAGUCAGCCUCAGUAAGGAAGCCGAAAUCUGGUAUAGUAGGAGGUGGAAGAGGAAUCUCAUCCUCGCUCACAGGACAACUAGGAUGUGAGCGAAGACGAGCCUUUAGUUGACCCGCCUUCGUUAUGUGACGAGUCUUCAACCUGACAAUGUGGGUAGCAUAGUGGUUAGGUAAACUUAAUAAUUUUGAUAGUGAUGUGAGUGGAAUGAUGCUGACAAGAUGUUAACUUGAGGAAAUCUUUCACACGCCCUUUGAUCUUCUCUUUAUGCGGGAACCUAGUAACUCAAAAAAUUAACCAGAAAAUUACACUUCUUAUUUUGUUUUCAUCAUGCUUGAGUCAUAUUCAUUUUGGUGAGUCCAAGACCCACACACAUGGUUGAAAAAAGGAGUAAGAACCCGUGUAUUCACUUAGCAAACUACUUAGUCCAUAUAUGUUGCACUUUUCGUCGCCUUAUUAACGAAAGACUAGGUCUCGCGCAGUCGAGACUAAAUCUAUUCAGAAAACAAUGAUGAGUCAAUCCUAUCAUGUACGACAACCUUUGCUAUAAGGUCAUCAUACAUACCCUCAAUUAAAAUGCUUUUUUCCCUUGCUAGACUAAAGACAUCCACAAUAAUUUUGAUUUUGACCAUGUGACUAACACACACCAAAUCACCAUGUUGUUUUCUCUACAACAACAAUGAAAUAUUGGAAAUCAUUUCAUUUUUAUGAAAUCGUUAAAAUCACUGCACUAAGAGAAUUGUAAUUUCUAGAAUAGUUUUAAUCGCUUUUAUGAAAUAGUAAAAUUGACCUUUUGUUGCAAAUCACUUCUCUGAAAUAAUUUAAAUGUCCAAAAUAAUCAAAUACCUCAUACCACUUUUUCUGAAGUAAAUGAAAUGUUUAUUCCAUGAAUAUGCAAGAGUUUACGUAUCUUUUCCUUUUCAUUGGUACAUACAAAAUGUACAUGAAAUUGGUGUGUGUGGGGGGAGGGGGCAUUAGUAGACCAUGUGCAGAAUGAACGACGUGCUCAGAACAAAGUAAAGCCCACCCAAGAGGAAAACAACUGGGUGGAGAUGGGAUGUAAACCUCCGCAUGUUUGUACCCGCUAUAAUCUAUCGCCGCCUAUCCAUGCUCUCGUCGAAUGGCAUGUGGAGGUGUGCUUUGGCAGAUCUUGUAGUUUUUAUAUACGUGUCCUUUACUUUCUUGCAAACCUAUCCUAUCACACCUACAGAGUACUUCUAGUUUCAUACUUGUUCUAGGUAAAGCGAACGUAAAGUAUGCGUAGAGCUGUAUCGGUGGUCGAUAUAACUUGAGGGAAUAUUUGUCCUACCUUUAGCUCCUUGUUGGGUUCGACACUCUUACUUAUCGAGAAAGGCUAUAAUUGAUCCCUUAUACUUGUGGAUUAUCAGUGGUGAAGGGAUAAGAUGCCCCCUUCGCCUCCCCUCCAUAUAUAUAGGGGUAGGGAGAGGGUCAGCCAGUCCUAGCCCCUAUUCCAAGGAAGGGGGGGAUGGCUUGGCCCCCAAGAUAGGUGGGGGCGCCCCAACCCCUUUAGGGUUUCCCCUAAAACAUAGCCACAUGGUCCCUUGGGAGGGGCUGGUGCGUCCGACCCAUGUUGCCCAGAGCGCCCCCUAUAGCCCAUGGAGGUCCACGGGAUAGGUGGACCCCCAGAAGUCUUUCGAUGUCCCUGAUACACUAUUGGCAUAACGCCGAAGCUUUUUGAAACCUCAAAAAUAGCUUUCCAUAUAUAAUGUUUACCUUCACAACUCCUCAUGACAUGUGGGAUCUAAUCCGAGACUCCAAAAAAUAUUCGGUCUGUGCCAUUAUCAAUAUCUCAAUAGUACCAUGACGUAAAAAAAUAGUAAUAUUAAUAACAAAAAAAAUUAUACCUAAAUUAUGCUUUUUUGUAAUAUAAUAGUGGAAUUUACAUAAAAAAUAAAGUUUACUAAAUAGGAUGAGUUAGUGUCAUUGGUAUUAUCUUAAAAAGAAAGAAAACUAAAAUAAAAACUAAAACAAAAUCAAAAUAAUGGAGUUUUCUAGGGAAGAAUGAAUUCAUGUGAAUGGUAUUACGCUUUAAGAGGAAAGAAAAUAAAAUAAAAACUAAAAUAAAAUCAUAAUAAUGAAAUUUACAGGGAAGAAUGAAUUAGCGGCAAUGUUAUUACCCUUUAACAAAAAAGAAAAUGAAGUAAAAACUAAAACUAAAUUAAAAUAGUGAAGUUUUGUAAUGAAGAAUGAAUUAAUAUAAUGCAAAAUUUGCACAUAAGUUAAACCUUUUUAUAAUGUGCAAGAAAAAACAUAUAAUAGUGAUUUGUUUUGCAAAUGGAAGUGCCCUAACCACCGAUGAGUUAGUGCCAUUGGUAUUACCCCUUACGAAGAAAGAAAAUGAAAUAAAACUGAAAAAACUAAAAUAAUGAAAUUAUCUAAAUAAAUAUGAAUUAGUGGCAAUGGUAUUACCAUUUGAGAAGAGUAAAAAAACUAAAACAAAUUACAAUGGUGAAUUUUUAAGAAUGAAUGGAUGAAAGGCAUUGGUAUCACCGUUUAAGAAAAAGGAAUAUGCAAAAAGACAUAAUGAUAAAAUUUGCACACAAUAUACAAACAAAUUGCACUUUUUUAUAAUAUGCAAGAAUAAGCUUGUAAUAGUGAAAUUUUCGUGAGAAGGAUGUUUUCUAAAAGGAAAUUGAUAAGUGAAAUUAGUAUUACUCUUAAAGAACCAAAGAAUGAAUAAAAACUAAAACAAAAUCAAAAUAAUGAAGUUUUAUGAUUAAGAAUAAAAUAGUGACAUUUGUAUUCCCCUUUGAGAAUAAAUAAAAUCAUAAAAAAAUAAAAGUUGCACACAACUCUGCACUGAAUUUGAAUAUUUUAUUAUAUACAAAUAAUAUUCACAUCAUAGUAUAAUUGCACACUCUAAUGUAGUUAAAUACUUAUUGCAUAGCACUUGCAUGAAUAAGAAAUACCCAUAACAAACAAAUCUUAAAACAAAAAAUAAAGGCAAAAACGCACAAAAAUGGAAAAAAGCAAAGGGAGGGAGAGAGAGAGAGAGAGGAGGGCUGGGUUAUCAUAUGGGCUAGAUAGAGCUAGCUUGGUCACCCUGUUAAUGGGUCUCAGCCCGUUAAGGUAUUUUUUUUAUUGCGAAUGCUUUGUAUUACUCAAAUGGUACGGCCACAAUCCGCAUUACAAAGAUCAAUAAUCUCUGGCAAGCUAGAGUUAAGCCAAACGAUAGUUAUUUUCUAAGUCCUAGCAAACUUAGCCAAAUAAUCGCUAACAGAUUUUUGGCAACGAAGAACAUGAGUAAAUUUUGUAUCACGCAACUUACUAAGAUGCUUUAUUUCCUCCACCAGCAAAGUGUAGGCCGAGCGAUCAGUGGCUCCGUCAUUUAUCAUUCUCACAGCUUGCCAUGAAUCCAACUCCACGUGAAUAGGCAGCUUUGUUCUUUGAAUUGAAAGUGACAAUCCCUCCAUGCAAGUAGAUAGUUCGGCUUCUAGGGCACUUGUGCAAGAAAGUAGCACCCUACAAGAUGAGAAGAUGAUCUUACCCUCACAAUCAUGAAGGAUCAUACCAGCUCCCGCGCCACCAACGGAAGACCAAGCCCGUUAAGGUAUUGACUCACCUAGCAGAGUUGGUCACAAAUUCCCAACCCAAAACAAGUAACUACACAACAGGAAAAAGUGGCACGAAUCUUAGAGCAGGAAUCAAUGCCUAGAAAAAUUGACUGGCCCAAAUUCAAUUUUCUGUUAAUUUACAAAUAGUUAACGUGUUUGAUAGAAAUAGAAAGUACAGGCGAACCAAUCUUCCGUGGAUUGAUGGUUAGAGGACCAUGGUGUUCCCAGCUCAACAAAGUUUAAAGCUUAGAUUUGACAUUGAUGCUCACAUUAUUUCUAAAUUUAUUUCAGACUUCCUGUGAUGUUUGUUCAGUGGGAGGAGACGUUUUCGUCGAGUGCGACACGCUCCUGGUAACUUCGUAAAAUUUCAAUACGUACGUCGGUUCGGUCUUUUCGAGAUGCUCAUAGGGAUAGAAUGUAUGUGCAUGCGUUUAUAAAAAUGAGUGCAUGCUCGUAGGUGAGCGACGUAGAUGUACUGUAUUAAAAAGAAGUAUUGUCUUGAAAAUAAAAAACAAGAACAGAACUUCUUUUGUUGUUUGAGAAAAAAGAGUAGAGCUCGUGAACAGUACUACCGCAAGGAUCAUGGUAUGUAGACCACAUCCUCGCCCUUUAUUUCUGGUUUGGACGGCUUUAUAUUAGACGCGUAUAUAUUCGCAUGCCGAACGUUUAUUCUACACAUGCCAUGCGUGUUCCAUGCAUGUGGAUCUCGGUCGGGCCCAAAGCACCUAGCAAGUGAGGCUGUUCCCCGGGUCGACGCCGAACUGCUUGCAGUAGGCCCGGUAGUAGCCCGCCCGCGCGUUCAUGGCGGCCGAGUUCCCGCCGUUGCACUCGCCGCUGUUGAUUGCCCUGGUGGUCGCGCCGAACCCCCGCGGCAGGACCUGCUUCACAUUGUUCAUCCAGAACCAGAGCGCCGCCUUGAACG